rnacentral:rRNA from 1 species
AAGGAAUAUUGGUCAAUGGAGGCAACUCUGAACCAGCCAUGCCGCGUGCAGGAAGACGGCCCUCUGGGUUGUAAACUGCUUUUAUUCGGGAAUAAACCUACUUACGUGUAAGUAGCUGAAUGUACCGAAGGAAUAAGGAUCGGCUAACUCCGUGCCAGCAGCCGCGGUAAUACGGAGGAUCCAAGCGUUAUCCGGAUUUAUUGGGUUUAAAGGGUGCGUAGGCGGCCUAUUAAGUCAGGGGUGAAAGACGGUAGCUCAACUAUCGCAGUGCCCUUGAUACUGAUGGGCUUGAAUGAACUAGAGGUAGGCGGAAUGUGACAAGUAGCGGUGAAAUGCAUAGAUAUGUCACAGAACACCGAUUGCGAAGGCAGCUUACUAUGGUUUUAGUGACGCUGAGGCACGAAAGCGUGGGGAUCAAAC